CCAGUGGUGGCCAAACCAGA
rnacentral:piRNA from 1 species